rnacentral:rRNA from 1 species
UCUGUGAACUCCUACGGGAGGCAGCAGUGGGGAAUUUUGGACAAUGGGCGCAAGCCUGAUCCAGCCAUUCCGCGUGAGUGAAGAAGGCCUUCGGGUUGUAAAGCUCUUUCGCAAGGGAAGAAAACUUAUCCUCUAACAUAGGGUGAGGUUGACGGUACCUUGAUAAGAAGCACCGGCUAACUACGUGCCAGCAGCCGCGGUAAUACGUAGGGUGCGAGCGUUAAUCGGAAUUACUGGGCGUAAAGCGUGCGCAGGCGGUUUUGUAAGUCAGAUGUGAAAUCCCCGAGCUCAACUUGGGAACUGCGUUUGAAACUACAAGACUAGAAUAUGUCAGAGGGGGGUAGAAUUCCACGUGUAGCAGUGAAAUGCGUAGAGAUGUGGAGGAAUACCAAUGGCGAAGGCAGCCCCCUGGGAUAAUAUUGACGCUCAUGCACGAAAGCGUGGGGAGCAAACAGGAUUAGAAACCCCAGUAGUCCAUCAGCG